AUUGAACGCUGGCGGAAUGCUUUACACAUACAAGUCGAACGGCAGCACGGACUUCGGUCUGGUGGCGAGUGGCGAACGGGUGAGUAAUACAUCGGAACGUGCCCAGUCGUGGGGGAUAACGUAGCGAAAGCUACGCUAAUACCGCAUACGAUCUAAGGAUGAAAGCGGGGGAUCGCAAGACCUCGCGCGAUUGGAGCGGCCGAUGGCAGAUUAGGUAGUUGGUAGGGUAAAGGCCUACCAAGCCGACGUUCUGUAGCUGGUCUGAGAGGAUGAUCAGCCACACUGGGACUGAGACACGGCCCAGACUCCUACGGGAGGCAGCAGUGGGGAAUUUUGGACAAUGGGCGCAAGCCUGAUCCAGCCAUUCCGCGUGCAGGAUGAAGGCCUUCGGGUUGUAAACUGCUUUUGUACAGAACGAAAAGGCUCUGGUUAAUACCCGGGGCUCAUGACGGUACUGUAAGAAUAAGCACCGGCUAACUACGUGCCAGCCGCCGCAGUAA
rnacentral:rRNA from 1 species